UACGAAGGGGGCUAGCGUUGCUCGGAAUCACUGGGCGUAAAGGGUGCGUAGGCGGGUCUUUAAGUCAGGGGUGAAAUCCUGGAGCUCAACUCCAGAACUGCCUUUGAUACUGGCGAUCUUUGAGUCCGGGAGAGGUGAGUGGAACUCCGAGUGUAGAGGUGAAAUUCGUAGAUAUUCGGAAGAACACCAGUGGCGAAGGCGGCUCACUGGCCCGGUACUGACGCUCAGGUGCGAAAGCGUGGGGAGCAAACAGG
rnacentral:rRNA from 1 species